CCUACGGGAGGCAGCAGUGAGGAAUAUUGGUCAAUGGGCGCGAGCCUGAACCAGCCAAGUAGCGUGAAGGAUGACUGCCCUACGGGUUGUAAACCUCUUUUGUAAGGGAAUAAAGUGAGGCACGUGUGCCUCUUUGUAUGUACUUUAUGAAUAAGGAUCGGCUAACUCCGUGCCAGCAGCCGCGGUAAUACGGAGGAUCCGAGCGUUAUCCGGAUUUAUUGGGUUUAAAGGGAGCGUAGAUGGGUUGUUAAGUCAGUUGUGAAAGUUUGCGGCUCAACCGUAAAAUUGCAAUUGAUACUGGCAGUCUUGAGUGCAGGUGAGGUAGGCGGAAUUCGUGGUGUAGCGGUGAAAUGCUUAGAUAUCACGAAGAACUCCGAUUGCGAAGGCAGCUUACUAAACUGCCACUGACACUGAUGCUCGAAAGUGUGGGUAUCAAACAGGAUUAGAUACCCCAGUAGUC
rnacentral:rRNA from 1 species